UUUUUCCCCGCNGGAAUAAGCAUAUCAAUAAGCGGAGGAAAAGAAACCAACAGGGAUUGCCCCAGUAACGGCGAGUGAAGCGGCAACAGCUCAAAUUUGAAAUCUGGCGCAAGCCCGAGUUGUAAUUUGUAGAGGAUGCUUCUGGCCAGCGGCCGUUCUAAGUUCCUUGGAACAGGACGUCAUAGAGGGUGAGAAUCCCGUAUGUGACCGGCGCGCAGCCUUUACGUAGCUCCUUCGACGAGUCGAGUUGUUUGGGAAUGCAGCUCUAAAUGGGAGGUAAAUUUCUUCUAAAGCUAAAUACCGGCCAGAGACCGAUAGCGCACAAGUAGAGUGAUCGAAAGAUGAAAAGCACUUUGGAAAGAGAGUUAAAAAGCACGUGAAAUUGUUGAAAGGGAAGCGCUUGCAACCAGACUUCGUAGCGGUGUUCCGCCGGUCUUCUGACCGGUCUACUCAUCGUCGCGAGGCCAACAUCGUCUGGGACCGCUGGAUAAGACCUAAGGAAUGUAGCUUCCCUCGGGAAGUGUUAUAGCCUGUGGUGAUGCAGCGCGUCUCGGGCGAGGUCCGCGCUUCGGCAAGGAUGUUGGCGUAAUGGUUGUCAGCGGCCCGUCUUGAAACACGGACCAAGGAGUCUAACAUCUAUGCGAGUGUUCGGGUGUCAAACCCCUACGCGUAAUGAAAGUGAACGGAGGUGGGAAGCGCAAGCUGCACCAUCGACCGAUCCUGAUGUCCUCGGAUGGAUUUGAGUAAGAGCAUAGCUGUUGGGACCCGAAAGAUGGUGAACUAUGCCUGAAUAGGGUGAAGCCAGAGGAAACUCUGGUGGAGGCUCGCAGCGGUUCUGACGUGCAAAUCGAUCGUCAAAUUUGGGUAUAGGGGCGAAAGACUAAUCGAACCAUCUAGUAGCUGGUUCCUGCCGAAGUUUCCCCUCAGGAAAAA
rnacentral:rRNA from 1 species